rnacentral:rRNA from 1 species
GAUGAACGCUGGCGGCGUGCCUAAUACAUGCAAGUCGAGCGAACAGAUGAGGAGCUUGCUCCUCUGACGUUAGCGGCGGACGGGUGAGUAACACGUGGAUAACCUACCUAUAAGACUGGGAUAACUUCGGGAAACCGGAGCUAAUACCGGAUAAUAUAUUGAACCGCAUGGUUCAAUAGUGAAAGACGGUUUUGCUGUCACUUAUCGAUGGAUCCGCGCCGCAUUAGCUAGUUGGUAAGGUAACGGCUUACCAAGGCAACCAUGCGUAGCCGACCUGAGAGGGUGAUCGGCCACACGGGAGCUGAGACACGGUCCAGACUCCUACGAGAGGCAGCAGUAGGGAAUCUGCCGCAAUGGGCGAAAGCCUGACAGAGCAACGCCGCGUGAGUGAUGAAGGUCUUCGGAUCGUAUAACUCUGUUAUUAGGGAAGAACAAAUGUGUAAGUAACUAUGCACGUCUUGACGGUACCUAAUCAGAAAGCCACGGCUAACUACGUG